AUGGUUAAAAGAGAUAUGCACACAACUUUUCCCUUAGUUUACCGUCUUGUUGAGCUAGCAUUGAUUUAACAUGUUGCAACCGCAACAGUGGAAAGAACAUUCUCAACAAUGAGCAUUAUCAAGACUGGAUUGAGAAACAAAAUGGGUGAUGAUUGGAUGAAUCAUAGAAUGGUAUGUCACAUUGAGCGAGAUGUAUUUGUUACUAUUGAAGAAUCAAAUAUCAUUGAGCGAUUUCAAGGUUAUCGCACGCGUAAAGGUGUUUUUCCUCGUUCUAUACGUAAGUUUUCACAUUUUGCAUGCAUCAUUAACUAG
rnacentral:rRNA from 1 species